CGGUCCGCUUGUGGCUCGUCUAGGAGAUGCUUAAAUAAAGAUCACAACUUAGGAAGGUCUUAUGGAAAGACAACUCACGAGGUCAAGGUUACUUUUCAUCGCUUUUUUGGAAGCCCAUCUAUACUUAACGCACGUGUUCGCUCAUUGUGUGCUCAUCAAGACCGCCAUCUGCAACAUAAGAACAUUUUUCAUAGGCGUAACGGAUCACUCAACGUCAUCAGCUCGUUACACCGUCUGUCUCAUCCUAAAUUACCGAUCAUACGACUAAACGGAUUUGGUGGUGGAAGUUUUUGGUACGUCUUACGGAUCCUCGUCUCCCAACAGGGCUUAUCAAGGCCCACUUGAGGUUAAAAGGUACAGCUUCUGUGCAUCAUCUAGAUGGGGCAGCCUUCCUUGGCCCUUCAGCGUAUGAAAGUCGAUAGUUAACGUGAAUGGUACGAAAAAGCGUUUGCGAGUCGCGGUACAGCCUGUAUCUCGUGCAUCAAAGCGCAGAACCAACAUCUACGUUCUUCGUUCCGCGCUCACUCUCGUCAUGCAGAUCUGACAAGAACUAAGUGUCACCAUUGCCGCUGCCAGAUACGCCUUCUCGUGUUGCCGCUGCCGCACUUAGGCGACGGCGACGGCGGUAAUUGGAUGUAAUUCAUCGCUUGGCCGACCAUCGGUUUCGGCGACCUUUUGACACUGUAUGUUCUUUUGUAUCCCUUUCGUUUUCUAGCCCAUAGAAUCUACGGCGAGUGCAACGUCAGCAAUAAACAGACACCACCGUGUGCCUCAUACGUCUUAGCUUACUUAGUUAUUCUAUCUUUUAUUGCCGCUUGCAUACUCAAGUUAACUGUACAUAUUUCUCAGUGAGGCAGAAUAGAAGACUACUGGCUAACCUAUGAAAAGAGAGCCCCGUCGACGUCGCUUCGCGACCCACAAUUGGUUGGUCGGCCAAUGUCCAAAAACCAUCUGGAACAGCGAGCGUCAGACAGACGAAACGACUGGCAAAUGACCAGGGGCUCAGCACCCCUCCAUCUCUCUCUUCAGCCACCAAGCGAAUGGAAAAUACAGUAGCACCGCAUAGAUACACAGCACGGCACAUAACGUAUAACCGACAUACAUUUAUGCGCAGACAGAUACACUAGAUGUAGAAUGGCGACAGUUUGCGGGUGCCCGUACGCGGUGACGCUCUCCUUUCGCGGGUAUUCGCCGUUUUGUUAGGUACGACAAUUCUUGAAACAUCUCCCCAUCCUCAUUCUCCGACAGUGCCCUUGCUAGGCACACCUCCUAGUGGACUCGUGUUCUCCUCGGAAGUUCGAUGAACUUCAGUAUCGUUGCAGGAACGAAGGAACGAUUGAUUUUCCAAAGCGACGCAUUGACGCAAAGAAGACAGCGGGGAACGCGGUACUGUAGAGGAUGUGUAGACAUAGCAGUAUGAAUGCUAAAAAAAUUCGCAAGAGGGUUUUAGUGGAAAACACAGCAGGCUUAGGUGUAAUUAAGUGUCUCCUGUUUUUUUUUUUAAAGAAAGAGGAAAACACUGCAAAUUAAGAUCCGGUAACUCAUGCGUUUGCUUUAAUAAAAAUUACGCUGACAUUAAAUGAAAAAACAGUUGUAAAACGUAUAAUUCUUUACAUCGAUAAUAGUUCAUGGAAUAAUUGUCACUAUGAGUAGUGGCGUUUUAUCGUUCGGAUGUGAUUGUCUCGAUUAUACUGACCGCCAAAACUUAUUCUGGUUUUUCCUUUACCUUCUCUAUCUAUUGAAUGUUUCAUAGAUACUUUUGGAAAUUGGCCACAGCUGUUCUUCCGAUAAACUAAUUACAAUUGCACUCAUAAUAAUAGCUAUCUGUGUGUUUACCAGGUAUCUCAACAGAUGAUUGAAGCUCAUAGCUGGUUCGAUAGACACGAUUCAUCCUAAUAGCCAUAUCGUUUUUUCCCUUCUCAAAUGGAUAUACGUAACACUUGGUCGCGAUACACAUGCGCAUCAACUUCGGUCAUUCUUCCGUGGCCACAUCUUGCGACUGUCGCCCGCCCGGACGUUAGCAGAAAGAGGUCUGCAUAAACGAGCGAACGUGGAUGUUGAUGCCGGCCAUCUAAGAUGAGAGGGGACUAUCGACAUUCCUGCGCAAUCGACCGAGAAAAGCAACUCCGCAUCUUGCACGCAUCCGCUGGGGACUGGCUGUCGUCCAGCAACAUCGAAUCCGCCUGCUGAACAUAGUAAGGAAACGCUAGGCCUACUAUCAGCCUGAACAGAUUGUAUGUGUAGCACUUGAAAAAACGGCUGAAACUAGCAGGCAACACAACAGCUUCAAAGCGAACUCAUACGAAGGGCUUCUCCAAUGAAACUUCAAACUUUAAGGACGACCCGCAACAAUGACACUGUCUAAUUCUGUAUUUUACCUACAGUUUACUAUAUAACGAUAAACGUAAAUAAACAA
rnacentral:lncRNA from 1 species